rnacentral:rRNA from 1 species
GUCCACGCCGUAAACGAUGAGCACUAGGUGUUGCGGGUAUUGACCCCUGCAGUGCCGACGCUAACGCAUUAAGUGCUCCGCCUGGGGAGUACGGCCGCAAGGCUAAAACUCAAAGGAAUUGACGGGGGCCCCGCACAAGCGGUGGAGUAUGUGGUUUAAUUCGACGCAACGCGCAGAACCUUACCCGGGUUUGACAUCGAGGUAAGAUCCCUAGAAAUAGGGAUCGCCCCUUCGGGGGACCAAAGACAGGUGCUGCAUGGCUGUCGU